rnacentral:rRNA from 1 species
UGAGGAAUAUUGGUCAAUGGGCGAGAGCCUGAACCAGCCAAGUAGCGUGCAGGAUGACGGCCCUAUGGGUUGUAAACUGCUUUUAUGUGGGGAUAAAGUGCGUGACGUGUCAUGCAUUGCAGGUACCACAUGAAUAAGGACCGGCUAAUUCCGUGCCAGCAGCCGCGGUAAUACGGAAGGUCCGGGCGUUAUCCGGAUUUCUUGGGUUUAAAGGGAGCGUAGGCUGUCUAUUAAGCGUGUUGUGAAAUUUACCGGCUCAACCGGUGGCUUGCAGCGCGAACUGGUCGACUUGAGUAUGCAGGAAGUAGGCGGAAUUCAUGGUGUAGCGGUGAAAUGCUUAGAUAUCAUGACGAACUCCGAUUGCGCAGGCAGCUUACUGUAGCAUAACUGACGCUGAUGCUCGAAAGUGCGGGUAUCAAACAGG